rfam:Capsicum annuum cultivar Zunla-1 chromosome 12, whole genome shotgun sequence
ACCUCAUGGCUAGGACAUUUUAUAAGCUUGUCCUUAAAUCUCCCCUAUGCUUCAUACAAAGGGUCUCCAUUGGAUUGACGAAAAUUUGUGAUUUCAUCAUGCAAUU